CCUACGGGUGGCUGCAGUGGGGAAUAUUGGACAAUGGGGGCAACCCUGAUCCAGCCAUGCCGCGUGUGUGAAGAAGGCCCUCGGGUUGUAAAGCACUUUCAGUGAGGAAGAACGCCUGGUGGUUAAUACCCAUCAGGAAAGACAUCACUCACAGAAGAAGCACCGGCUAACUCCGUGCCAGCAGCCGCGGUAAUACGGAGGGUGCGAGCGUUAAUCGGAAUUACUGGGCGUAAAGCGCGCGUAGGUGGCUUGAUAAGCCGGUUGUGAAAGCCCCGGGCUCAACCUGGGAACGACAUCCGGAACUGUCAAGCUAGAGUGCAGGAGAGGAAGGUAGAAUUCCCGGUGUAGCGGUGAAAUGCGUAGAGAUCGGGAGGAAUACCAGUGGCGAAGGCGGCCUUCUGGACUGACACUGACACUGAGGUGCGAAAGCGUGGGUAGCAAACAGGAUUAGAUACCCCAGUAGUC
rnacentral:rRNA from 1 species